UAAAUAGAAUGAAACAUACAAAUACAAAUAUUUUAGCAUACAAAAGAAAUAAAGUUGUACAUAAUAAGAUGUGCGGCCUAAAACCACAACCAAAGGCAAAAUAACUUCAAUACAUUGUGCGUCAAGUUGCAGUCGAUUUUCAGAUGUAACGAAGCGGAGCGUAUGCUCGGUGUAAUUUAUAACAUUGCCAUAGCAAAUAUCUUCAUUUGCGCUAUUUGUGGAAACGAUUUUGGCGCCAUCAAAAUUUACUGCGUUGCUGUUGUUGCCGCCACUUUAAUUACGGUUUCAUUGAUAUAUACAAUAAGUGAAGCAUGACAGGCGCGUGCGUACUUUGCACUUACGUUAUUUUCACGCACAUCAUAAGCAACAGCAACAGAUGUUCCAACGAAACUGAAACUCAAUGCUUAGAACAAUUUAUCUAAAUAUCUGGAUCGCGGUGUUCGCAACUACAAAUAUGAACAUUUUUCAAUAAACAAAAACAGAUGUCUUAAUUAUAUUAGUGUUUACUCAAACGUUUGUGGAAUUUGUGAAAG